UAAUCACUUGUCUUUUAAAUGAAGACCUGUAUGAAUGGCAAAACGAGGGCUUAACUGUCUCCCUUCCCCAGUCAAUGAAAUUGACCUCCCCGUGCAGAGGCGGGGAUAAAUUUAUAAGACGAGAAGACCCUGUGGAGCUUCAGACUUAAAAUAANCCACGUUAAACAAACUUCAAAAUAAGAAAAAACUUAGUGAAUUUUAUUUAAAUGUCUUUGGUUGGGGUGACCGCGGGGCAAAACACAGCCCCCAUGAAGAUAGGGGAGAUAUCCCUAACACCAAGAGUUACCCCUCUAAGCAACAAAAAUUUUGACUUUAAAAAUGAUCCGGCUCAGCCGAUUAACGAACCCAGUUACCCCAGGGAUAACAGCGCAAUCCCCUCCCAGAGCCCU
rnacentral:rRNA from 1 species